rnacentral:rRNA from 1 species
AGAGCGGCGGACGGGUGAGUAACGCGUAGGAAUCUAGCCGGUAGUGGGGGACAACUCGGGGAAGGUCGAGCUAAUACCGCAUACGCCCUAAUGUGAAUAGCGGGAGACCAUUGGGCCUCGCGCUAUCGGAUGAGCCUGCGUUGGAUUAGCUAGUUGGUGGGGUAAAGGCCUACCAAGGCGACGAUCCAUAGCUGGUCUGAGAGGAUGAUCAGCCACACCGGGACUGAGACAAGGCCCGGACUCCCACGGGAGGCAGCAGUGGGGAAUAUUGCGCAAUGGGGGAAAGCCUAAAGCAACAACACCCCGGGUGUGUAGAAAAGGGCUCCGGGUUUGAAAGCACUUUCACUUGGGAGGAAACGUUGCAGGUUAAUACCCUGUAGCUUUGACGUUACCUUGAGAAGAAGCACCGGCUAACUCCGUGCCAGCAGCCGCGGUAAUACGGAGGGUGCGAGCGUUAAUCGGAAUUACUGGGCGUAAAGCGCGCGUAGGCGGUUUGUUAAGUCGGAUGUGAAAGCCCCGGGCUCAACCUGGGAAUUGCACCCGAUACUGGCCGACUGGAGUGCGAGAGAGGGAGGUAGAAUCCCACGUGUAGCGGGUGAAAUGCGUAGAUUUGUGGAGGAAUACCGGUGGCGAAGGCGGCCUCCUGGCUCGACACUGACGCU